rnacentral:tRNA from 1 species
GGGCCUGUGGCUCAAAGGAGUAGGGCGCUGGCCCCAUAUGCCAGAGGUGGCGGGUUCAAAGGGUUCAAACCCAGCCCGGACCA